rnacentral:rRNA from 1 species
UACAGAGGUCCCAAGCGUUGUUCGGAUUCACUGGGCGUAAAGGGUGCGUAGGUGGUCGGGUAAGUCUGAUGUGAAAUCUCCGGGCCUAACCCGGAAACUGCAUCGGAUACUAUUCGGCUAGAGGGUUGGAGGGGGGACUGGAAUACUUGGUGUAGCAGUGAAAUGCGUAGAUAUCGGGAAGAACACCCGUGGCUAAGGCGGCUCUCUAGUACGGUACUGACGCUGAGACGCGAAAGCGUGGGGAGCGAACAGG